CACGUAGGGGGCAAGCGUUGUCCGGAUUUAUUGGGCGUAAAGAGCGUGUAGGCGGCCAAGUAAGUCUGCUGUGAAAACUCGAGGCUUAACCUCAAGCUGUCGGCGGAAACUAUUUGGCUAGAGUCCGGAAGAGGAGAAUGGAAUUCCCGGUGUAGCGGUGAAAUGCGCAGAUAUCGGGAAGAACACCCGUGGCGAAGGCGGUUCUCUGGGACGGUACUGACGCUGAGACGCGAAAGCGUGGGGAGCGAACAGG
rnacentral:rRNA from 1 species